rnacentral:rRNA from 1 species
UUGCGGACAGUGUCUGGUGGGUAGUUUGACUGGGGCGGUCUCCUCCUAAAGAGUAACGGAGGAGCACGAAGGUUGGCUAAUCCUGGUCGGACAUCAGGAGGUUAGUGCAAUGGCAUAAGCCAGCUUGACUGCGAGCGUGACGGCGCGAGCAGGUGCGAAAGCAGGUCAUAGUGAUCCGGUGGUUCUGAAUGGAAGGGCCAUCGCUCAACGGAUAAAAGGUACUCCGGGGAUAACAGGCUGAUACCGCCCAAGAGUUCAUAUCGACGGCGGUGUUUGGCACCUCGAUGUCGGCUCAUCACAUCCUGGGGCUGAAGUAGGUCCCAAGGGUAUGGCUGUUCGCCAUUUAAAGUGGUACGCGAGCUGGGUUUAGAACGUCGUGAGACAGUUCGGUCCCUAUCUGCCGUGGGCGCUGGAGAACUGAGGGGGGCUGCUCCUAGUACGAGAGGACCGGAGUGGACGCAUCACUGGUGUUCGGGUUGUCAUGCCAAUGGCACUGCCCGGUAGCUAAAUGCGGAAGAGAUAAGUGCUGAAAGCAUCUAAGCACGAAACUUGCCCCGAGAUGAGUUCUCCCUGAGACUUAGAGUCUCCUGAAGGAACGUUGAAGACGACGACGUUGAUAGGCCGGGUGUGUAAGCGCAGCGAUGCGUUGAGCUAACCGGUACUAAUGAACCGUGAGGCUUAACCUUACA